UUUCAUUCCCCAAUCCGCUGCCUCCUCUUCCCCGGACCCUCCCCAAAUUCCCGCCUCCUCUCCUCCUUCCCACUCCAUCGCCUCUGCACCCUGGCCGUCGUCCCUCGUCAGCCGCCGCCGGCCUUCUCGCUGGGGUGGAGGAGUAGGGGAUCCCACCAGAUCCGACCUGCAGGCAAAGGGCGACGGCGGGGGCGCUUGAUUCUAUCCAGCACCAACGCCAUGGACCGGUCCGUGCAGGAGAGAGAUGAGGGAGAAAGAGAGAGCAAAGAGGAGUGGCGGAUGACGAGAGGAGGGAGAAAGAGAAAGGAAAUAGGAGAGGGAGGCUCGGCAGCGGACGGGACAGGGUCGCCGGCCGGUGUCGGCCUGCGCCGGCGAGGUCGCUCGCCCAGCUGCCAAGGAGGGAAAGGCGACGGGGACCGGCAUCCAGGGCGGCGGCGGCGGGACUACAGGAACUGGCCGAGGUGGUCCUCGCCAAACAAGCGGGUGGCAGCAAGGUGCUCCCCACGGUGAGGAAUGGACGCGCUCAACGCCUUCCUUCCCAACCAGGUGCUCCUGUAUCUCUCUCUACUAGUAAGAUGCCCGUGCUAUGCUACGGAAUCACAAAAAAAGUUGUGAGUGCAAUCCUAGGGGACAAGAAAAAAAAAUGUAGCAAGACACCAAUCAAAAUGAUGUCAUAUAUUUGAUCGGUACACACUGAGAACAAUCAAACAUACGGGCUUCCGUUUAUCAAGCAUAGUGUAUCCUUGUUUUAGCUAUUUGCUCAA